rnacentral:misc_RNA from 1 species
UUAUGAAGUGUCUGUCAAUCUCUAAAAGCUUGGUCCGAUCACGCUGAACUGAUGGCAGCUUUGUUAUCACAAAACAGGGACAAACCACUAGUUUUCAGCAAUUUUAAUUCCUCCAACUUUCGUAACCAUAAUAGUUCGCAAAUAUUUUGAGUCAUUGCUCUAAACUCAGUCUCUGCAUUAGAUCUCGCUGUCACAUUUUGCUUCUUGCUUAUCCAAGUGACUAGAUUAUCACCAACAAAAUUACAGUAACUAGAUGUUGAUCUCCUACAUCAAGAGAUCCAACUUAAUCUGCAUUUGUAAAGGCCUUAAUCUGAAGAUGACCAUGCUUUGAGAAAAGAAGU